GAUGAACGCUGGCGGCGUGCCUAAUACAUGCAAGUCGAGCGAACGGACGAGAAGCUUGCUUCUCUGAUGUUAGCGGCGGACGGGUGAGUAACACGUGGAUAACCUACCUAUAAGACUGGGAUAACUUCGGGAAACCGUAGCUAAUACCGGAUAAUAUUUUGAACCGCAUGGUUCAAAAGUGAAAGACGGUCUUGCUGUCACUUAUAGAUGGUUCCGCGCUGCAUUAGCUAGUUGGUAAGGUAACGGCUUACCAAGGCAACGAUGCAUAGCCGACCUGAGAGGGUGAUCGGCCACACUGGAACUGAGACACGGUCCAGACUCCUACGGGAGGCAGCAGUAGGGAAUAUUCCGCAAUGGGCGAAAGCCUGACGGAGCAACGCCGCGUGAGUGAUGAAGGUCUUCGGAUCGUAAAACUCUGUUAUUAGGGAAGAACAUAUGUGUAAGUAACUGUGCACAUCUUGACGGUACCUAAUCAGAAAGCCACGGCUAACUACGUG
rnacentral:rRNA from 1 species